GUACGGGAGGCAGCAGUAAGGAAUAUUGGACAAUGGGCGCAAGCCUGAUCCAGCCAUGCCGCGUGCAGGAUGAAAGUGCUCUGCACUGUAAACUGCUUUUACUUGGGAAAAAACCCCUGGUUUAUACCGGGGCUGAUUGUACCGAGAGAAUAAGGGACGGCUAACUUCGUGCCAGCAGCCGCGGUAAUACGAAGGUCCCAAGCGUUAUCCGGAUUUAUUGGGUUUAAAGGGUGCGUAGGCGGGCUAUUAAGUCAGUGGUGAAAGCCCCAAGCUUAACUUGGGAACUGCCAUUGAUACUGAUGGUCUUGAGUACAUUUGAGGUGGGCGGAAUGUGUCAUGUAGCGGUGAAAUGCUUAGAUAUGACACAGAACACCGAUUGCGAAGGCAGCUCACUAAACUGUAACUGACGCUGAGGCACGAAAGCGUGGGGAGCAAACAGGAUUAGAUACCCCGGU
rnacentral:rRNA from 1 species